UACGUAGGGGGCAAGCGUUGUCCGGAAUUACUGGGCGUAAAGCGCACGUAGGCGGCUUUGUAAGUUAGAGGUGAAAGCCCGGGGCUCAACUCCGGAAUUGCCUUUAAGACUGCAUCGCUAGAAUUGUGGAGAGGUAAGUGGAAUUCCGAGUGUAGAGGUGAAAUUCGUAGAUAUUCGGAAGAACACCAGUGGCGAAGGCGACUUACUGGACACAUAUUGACGCUGAGGUGCGAAAGCGUGGGGAGCAAACAGG
rnacentral:rRNA from 1 species